GCAGCUGUCUGCUAGAGGCUGUGAACGGGAGCAUACACCUGUGAACGAGGAAGCGCUCCCUGCCCCGGGGCUGGGGGGUAGGGGAGACAGCAGGAGGGCUGCACCUCCAAGCUGCAGCUGCCAGCCUGCACCACAACCACAGCAACACAGGAUCCGAGCCACAUCUGUGACCUACACCACAACUCACAGCAACGCUGGAUCCUUAACACAGAGGAAGGCCAGGGGUCAAACCCGCAUCCUCAUGGAUCCUGGUUGGACUCCUGCUCCACAACAGGAAACCCCUGAGUCCUAGUUCUUAGUGUCUGGGCCUGGAGGCAGAGUGGACCAUGCGUGAAGACAAGGCCGUUUGCUCGUGUUGGAUGAAGCCCUGCUCAAGCCACACGAUGUGAUACCGACUUCCCCCUCUCGCUUGGGCAGCUCUGUAUUGCGGUCCUCAGAUCCCUGACUGAUACCUUGAUUGCUGCGUGGUGAGGGGCAGAGGGACCCAGCGAAGCCAUGUCUGGAUUUCCGACCUACAGAAACUGUGAGAUAAUAAGUGCUUGUUGUUUUAAACUGCUCGAUCAUGGGGUAAUUUGUUACACAGCCAUGGAGAAUACAGGGUAGAUAAGCAUGUUUGUGCAAAGCUUGCAUAUAAUUUCAAGAGGCGUUGAGAAACCUCCAAAGCCUGUUGAUGGAUAAUGUAGGGACCUCGUUGGAACCCCUGUUUUAGGAAGACAUUAAAGGGAAAGACAGUGGAGGAAGAAAUAAAAUAAGAACAGCAGAGUCCGUGGUGGAAGGGAGAUCUGGAGAGUCUGAUUAGAGACAGUUGUGUCAGGGAAGUUAAGCAAGAACCGAAUGCCCUAAUGGGAAGAACAUUCACUAACAUUUUCCAGGGGGUCAGAUUCCCGAGGAUAGCAGCUAAACUGGCGAGUGACAUUUUUCCAUCAUGAUAUAAAAUUGGCGGGAUAUGUAACCCAAAGAAGCAGAGACCACUGUUCUGCGCUGAGGUGUGUGGGAAGAAAGGUUCAACCCAGCCUGGUUAGGUUGGAAAAGUGUUGGCUAGUGACCGAGGAUCCUGGUAUCUGGGGCCUGAAGAAAAUGUGCAAAUUGUGGCAAGGGCUCUAAGUUACCAAAGGUUUUAUAAUGGCCCACGAAACUUGGAAGUUGGGGGAUUGAGUUGGCCUCAGGCCUGGCUGGCUCCAAGGACUCCGAUGGUGCCAUCAUGUCGCUCUAUGUAUCUUUUUGGUUGACCUUCAAAUGGCCAAGGGUUGGGCGUGGGGUAGGCAGUUCUGCAGAGAGAGCUCCAGGCGUUCUUAUCCGCAAAGAGUGGCCCUCAGAGAAAAAGACCGUCUUCUCUCAGUGUCCAUGUGAAAUCUCGGGAGGGAGUGUGAUGGUUGUGCCUGGAAAGCCAUUAUCUCCCAGGUACCCCGGCACUGCGUGGAGGGGUGGGAGGAUAAUUACCUAAAGGAAAAGGGGGUGCUCUUGUCAGAAAAGAAGAAACACCGUGGGGCAGAUAAUGUGACAUAUGUCUACCGGAGUGAGUGACAAUAACCAGAGGCUGGAGGAUUGUUUAAUAUUUAAAGUUAUGCCGACAUAACGCAAUAACCUGAGACUUAACGCAGCUGUGUGGUGUUUGUGUCUCAGCAGUCCCUCAUUAUAGGAAAUUUGGGUUGUGUAUUUGAAUUGACUUGGAAUGAUGGCGUCUAAUGAAUAGAGUUCUGGCAGGGGUGGCCCUGGAGAAGGGGUUUGGGGGAUGAAACCAUGAAUUCAGAGGCUCAGAAUCUUAAGGAAAAAUGCAGUCCUUUCUCCUUCUUGUGUGUCAGCAUCUGUUGUUUUUCUCCUAGAACACAAAGUGCCUGCAGAGCCCAUACCCAUUUGAAUAAAGACUGAACAACCACUGCAGCAAAGGCUUAGCUGCCAGAUGCUCUGCAUGUGACUUGGUUGAAUUUCUACCACUUUCCUAAGUCCCUGGAUGAGGCCUUGUUUCAUCCGGGGACUCCCACUAUUUUUGAAAUGAAGAAUUUGAUUCCAAAUGGCAGAGAUUUAAUUUUUAAACUCAUAGAAAGAGACGAUGCCAACUAUUCAAUUUAGAUCUUCUUAGAUCGUAAAUAAGGACUUGUGAUUGACUGAGUCAUUUAACUUUUUAAAAAAUAGGGUUUUUUUUUUUUUAAAGUUCAUUUUUUUUAAAAAAAAAAGUUCCUCUGAGACCAACAGUAAUGUAGAAAUUGGCAGGAGAGAUCUCUCUGGUGGGCCAUUUCUCCCCCAUCCCACCCCCACCCCAGUUUUGUCACAGUGUGAUUUGGUCGGACAUGAGAAAAUGCUAAAUGAUAGGUUAAAUGAUCCAUAUGUGGCAAGGUAACGCAUUCCUAACUUCUGUAAAGUUUUUCAAAUUGUAACUGCCACUGUCACGACAUGUGGAUAAUAUCAGUAUUAGUUGUCAAUUAAAAAAAUUACAUGGUACUGAAUUUGCUUACUUUAAGACAUGAAAAUAGGAGUUCCCAUUGUGGCUCAGUAGUAACGAACCCGACCGGUAUCCAUGAGGACUAGGGUUCAAUCCCUGGCCUCGCUCAGUGGGUUAAGGAUCCGGUGUUGCUGUGAGCUGUGGUGUAGCCCGGCAGCCGCAGCUCCAGUUGACCCCUAGCAGGUGUGGUGGCCCUAAAGGGCAAAACCAAACCAAACAAAAAGAAAUGAAAAUAUAAUUGUUAAUCAGAAAGACAUGCUCUUGGCUGUAGUCUCCUCCCCUGUGGGAAGGCCAGUCCCCUCGGCCAGUAGCUGACAUUCUACUGCAAGGGCUGUCCCCGGGGCCCUGCCUCUCGCUCGGUGGCUAAGGCACAUUCUAGAGACUCACCGUCUCUUUGCCUCUCAGCACUUAAAGCUCAGUGGAAGCCCAUGGUGUAUCCUGGAUCCAAACUCGGGGGAUUGAAUUGGACUUCCCACUUGAUGUGUUUAUCUUGAGAAUCACAUCCGAUAUUAAUAUUAAUGAUAUCCCUCGUUUAAGCUUUGCCUUGUCUCCAGUAUCUAUGUACCAUAGUCUAUAAUUGUGUUUUCACCAACAGUCUUUGCAGGCUCGUAUUUUAUAGCUCGUGAAAUCAGUAUCUUGGAUUCCAUCAUACCCGUGUUCCAUGCCCGGGCUGUUUCCAUACACAGAUAUCCCCCAAAUUAUAAGUGAAAGAGGCCAGAUAAGUGAAAGAGAGGUGUUUUUUUUUUUUUUUCUUUUCUUUAUUCUUUUUAAUAGCCACACUUUUCAAGACUGGGAAAUUACAGGCAGGAUUUGCUUUGGCCCUUUUGGACUAUUUAUUUCCUCUGAUUUCUGGAAAUUACUGCCUUGGAGAUUCUGUAUCUUAUUGACUUUGGGGAAGGCAGGUAAAGAAGCAUUCCCAUGUGCCCCAAAUAGCCUCUUGGUGACUUUUCUGGCAGUUCAUUUUGGCUCAGUAAUGAUGUAUUGAAGCAAAUAUGUGCCAGCCCAGUGCCAGGCACAGGAGUUGCGGUUGCACUUCCUGCUUCCUAGACCAUGACGGUCUAUUGAACCAGAAUGAAGGGACGAGGUCAAGGGAACUAGCACCUGUUGAUUGUCAAACACAGGGAGGAAUUCCUCUCCAGCCCUCACCUGUGUCACCUCAGCCCACCUUCAGAACCACACUGACUUCUGUCCUCUGGAAGCUCAGGGACAUUAAAUAUUUGUCCAGGCCACACAACAAAUGUGUUGUGAAGUAGAAGUCGAGCAAGAUUUGAGUCCAUGCGUAUUUUUAUCCAUGCUUAUUUUUACUACUUUAUAUGCUUUCUCCCUCCAGCACUGUUCAUUUUGCCCUGUAAUUAAGUUCUAGGAAUUCCAUUUCCAUCUCACUACUUAGGUCUAAAACUGACAAUGUUAAGAACGGUUGGAAAAACAUGCUUUCUUAGAAACUAAAAACUGCUCUAUCCUUCUAUGUUGUGAAUUUCAAAUCUCAAGUGAACCUUUUGGGAGUUGAGUUCAUUUAAAGCUGACUUUCUAUUUCUGAGAAAAAAGAAUAGAAUGAUAGCACACAUGUUAUGGCUUUUUAGCAAAAUGUCUUUUUAAAGGAAAUUGUGAUGUGAUUGAAAGAUCUUGGUGGGCAAUAAAUAGGUUUUUUUUUCAAGGUACCAUUUGGAAGCAUUCAAGAGUCAGGAAUUAAGGACAGAGUUGCUGUAAAUAUUUUCAAUAUAUUCCACAAAUCUCAAAUCACAUCUGGUUUGCCCAGCAUUAUCAGCAGAACCUUUCUUUAUUCAACUCUGAUUCCUCCACUAUGAUUUUGUCAAAUUAAAGGGCUCAAUCAUAUGAUUUAGCAUUAGCAUUAGAGGAACUGUCCCUAAAUUGGGGUCGGGCAAGCCGAUCUAGUGCAAUAUUUCGACAAGUUCCUAUAAGAUACUCUUUGAUUCGAAUACGGGUUAGUUAGCAAUUUGCGUUACUAAACACAAAACUAACAUUCAUGAUUUAAACACACAGGAAUAACUGCAUGAGUACAAGUAUGUAACAUGAUGGGCCAUCGGGCCAUUUCAUGAAAAAUAUAUUAGCAAGCAUUUAGUUUUAUUUAUUGUUCAGGCCUCGGAGUGCUGGUCUGCCUCUCUGGGUCCAGCCUGCCGCUGGCACAUGGCCACAGCUGCCACAGAGUCAGUGAGAAGUGUGUCCAGGCUGCACCAUCGCGUCUGUGGUGCAUCCUUUAGAAAGAUCCUGGUGGUAAGAUGUCAGCCUCGCUUUCUAGAAGCCUCGCGCACCCAUGCAGCGGCACGGUCUCCCAGCCUCAUUCCCACAGACCUACUGCGAGGAGUUCUAUCUCUGGGUCUGAUUUCAAGGUGAACAGGUUGGAGAAUUCAAGGGAAGGCUAUAGAUUUUUUUUUGCUUCUCACGUUGGUUGAUUAGCCCAGUACGUGGUAUUUGAUUAACGUCCGCGAGCUCUAAUUAGCAGUGCCUAACAGGGUCUCCAUACCCUCAGAUAUUGAUUCCUGCCUCCAGAAAAACUAAUCUAAUUGUGCUCCUUAUCAUUAGCGAAUGGGUGGUGUACUGACAUGAUAUUUUUUAUUGGGAGGGCUCCUUCAUCAUGACCGCUUUGGAAUGGGCUGGAGGGGGACACGGAACUAAGGUGUCAGGAAAAACGUCACGUUUGAUCACCCUGAGACUGUUUUGAUCCCCAGAGGAGGGAAAGCCAUAACUAUUCCAGGAGAAAUUUUCUUUUUAACUUUCCCCAAAGAGGAAAAUGGGCAUAAGACUCAAAUGUGUCAUUUGGACCACAGCGGGUAGAAGAAAAGCAAAGACUUUGCGGGCAUCUCUUUGUUUCUGGGCCUACUUGUCUGCUGAUCUGUGCCUGCCUUCCUGCCACUCUUGAAAUGACGGCACAGGACUACAGUAAUUAAGGCACCUCCAUGGCUGCCUUUGCUGAUCCCUAGUUUUCAGGGAUCGUAAUGAAAAGACAUACCCCC
rnacentral:lncRNA from 1 species